AUACGUAGGGGGCAAGCGUUAUCCGGAUUUACUGGGUGUAAAGGGAGCGUAGACGGUUCUGCAAGUCUGGAGUGAAAGCCCGGGGCUCAACCCCGGGACUGCUUUGGAAACUGUGGAACUGGAGUGCAGGAGAGGUAGGCGGAAUUCCCGGUGUAGCGGUGGAAUGCGUAGAUAUCGGGAGGAACACCAGUGGCGAAGGCGACUACCUGGACCGAUACUGACACUGAGGAGCGAAAGCGUGGGGAGC
rnacentral:rRNA from 1 species